rnacentral:misc_RNA from 1 species
CGAUGGGUUGCCGUUGCUCCCCAUUUCUAGCGCACGCUUUUUGGCUCUCGCAUUUUUCGUUUUUCACAUCCGCUCUGUCCCUACUUCCGUUGCAACCUCGCCGCCUUUUACUCCCUUGGAAUAUAUCAAGUAUUUUACGGAGUUUUAGAGAAUACAAAAAAACAUUAUGCCCGGUGGUUCAACUAUGGAAGCGAUUUUUCUCAUCAGAAGCUUGAUCGAGAAAUAUAAAGAUGUGAAGAAAGAUCUACAUAUGGUUUUUAUCGAUUUGGAGAAGGCUUAUGAUAGUAUUCCAAGAGAUGUCUUAUGGAGAGUGUUAGAACAAAAGAGGGUAUCU